rfam:Cricetulus griseus cell line CHO-K1, whole genome shotgun sequence.
GUUUGUAGUAUACAGCUGUGUACAUUUGUAUUUGGCGGAUCCGAGAGGAGCUGACGAGCUCGGACUCCGGACCGUGGCUCCAGGAGAUGUCCUAGUAGCA